CAGGGAGACAAACAAUAGAUCGUGAUGUCUAAAUUUUUUUUUAGGCCAUGAUCCUGUCACCUUAGGUCGAUCGGUACCUCAGAUUUCAUUUAUAAAUAGUUGAGAAAUCAAUCAAAUUAUGAAUGUAGUUUUAGUUCCUAAACUUGUCUAGGUCACACCCCACAAGGGUUACUCCUGGGCCAUUAGCUCAGGUGGUUAGAGCGCACCCCUGAUAAGGGUGAGGUCCCUGGUUCAAGUCCAGGAUGGCCCAUUCGGUGUUGGGGGUUUAGCUCAGUUGGUAGAGCGCCUGCUUUGCAAGCAGGAUGUCAGCGGUUCGAGUCCGCUAACCUCCACUGACCGCACCUCCUUAAAGCCCCAAUUGUGAGAACCAUUGUGAGAUGUGAUUUAGGUUGAUUCAGCUGAAAGAACCUAGCUUCCUUUCAUUCCAAAUCUAAAGAUUAUUAAUUAGGUUAGGUUGACAGGACGCUGGGCUCAUUGGAAAUUCAUAAGGUUUCCAAAGAUGUUCGGCAGAACCUUGACAACUGCAUAGGUGAGUCUGGAAAGAAUAAAGCAUCUCAUGGAUGCAUAAUUUCUAAUUUCCCAGUAUAUAUUUCUUGUGAAAACAUUAAAUAUAAAUUUGGAAAAUUAAAUUAUGUUUUUAAAAUUCUUGAGUUUAGAGCUGAGACUCUGUAGCGUUCUUUUAAUGCUGUCGAGGCAUUAAAAGUUAGAUUUGACAUUUAAAAAUGACUUUAAUAAAACAAUUUUCUAGUCUUUAAUUAGAACUUGAUUAUUGUAUUUAGCCGUUUUUGAAUUCUUAGAAUACGUUUUCAACAACGUAGGCGAUACAGAGAUUUAAU
rnacentral:tRNA from 1 species